CGAAAUAACAAAAAGCGAAGACGAGUAAAGAAGCCUCCUGAAUCUAAACUUUUCCCUCUGUUCACUAAUUAUUGAUAAAUGUCAAAAAAAAAAAAAAAAAA
rnacentral:ribozyme from 1 species